rnacentral:rRNA from 1 species
UACGUAGGGGGCUAGCGUUGUCCGGAUUAUUGGGCGUAAAGAGCGUGUAGGCGGCCAGGUAGGUCUGCUGUGAAAACUCGAGGCUCAACCUCGAGACGUCGGCGGAAACCAUCUGGCUAGAGUCCGGAAGAGGAGAGUGGAAUUCCGUGGUGUAGCGGUGAAAUGCGCAGAUAUCAGGAAGAACACCGGUGGCGAAGGCGGGUCUCUGGGCCGAUACUGACGCUGAGGAGCGAAAGCGUGGGGAGCAAACAGG